AUUGAACGCUGGCGGCAGGCCUAACACAUGCAAGUCGAACGGUAACAGGAAGAAGCUUGCUUCUUUGCUGACGAGUGGCGGACGGGUGGGUAAUGUCUGGGAAACUGCCUGAUGGAGAGGGAUAACUACUGGAAACGGUAGCUAAUACCGCAUAACGUCGCAAGACCAAAGAGGGGGACCUUCGGGCCUCUUGCCAUCGGAUGUGCCCAGAUGGGAUUAGCUAGUAGGUGGGGUAACGGCUCACCUAGGCGACGAUCCCUAGCUGGUCUGAGAGGAUGACCAGCCACACUGGAACUGAGACACGGUCCAGACUCCUACGGGAGGCAGCAGUGGGGAAUAUUGCACAAUGGGCGCAAGCCUGAUGCAGCCAUGCCGCGUGUAUGAAGAAGGCCUUCGGGUUGUAAAGUACUUUCAGCGGGGAGGAAGGGAGUAAAGUUAAUACCUUUGCUCAUUGACGUUACCCGCAGAAGAAGCACCGGCUAACUCCGUG
rnacentral:rRNA from 1 species